GACGGAGGAUGCAAGCGUUAUCCGGAAUGAUUGGGCGUAAAGCGUCCGCAGGUGGCAGUUCAAGUCUGCUGUCAAAGCCCGGGGCUUAACUCCGGAAAGGCAGUGGAAACUGAACAGCUAGAGUAUGGUAGGGGCAGAGGGAAUUCCUGGUGUAGCGGUGAAAUGCGUAGAGAUCCGGAAGAACACCGGUGGCGAAGGCGGUUAGCUGGGCAGUUGCUGACACUGAGGCGCGAAAGCGUGGGGAGCAAACAGG
rnacentral:rRNA from 1 species